rnacentral:rRNA from 1 species
CCUACGGGAGGCUGCAGUGGGGGAUCUUGCACAAUGGGGGGAACCCUGAUGCAGCGACGCCGCGUGGGUGAAGGAGCGUUUCGGCGCGUAAAGCCCUAUCGGCAGGGAAGCAGGAGGACGGUACCUGACUAAGAAGCCCCGGCCAACUACGUGCCAGCAGCCGCGGUACUACGUAGGGGGCAAGCGUGAUCCGGAUUUACUGGGUGUAUAGGGGGCGCAGGCGGCAGCGCAAGCCAGGAGGGAAAGCCCGGGGCCCAAACCCGGGACUGCUCUUGGAACUGCGCGGCGCGAGUGGAGGAGGGGAAGGCGGAAUGCCUGGUGUAGCGGUGAAAGGCGUAGAUAUCAGGAGGAACACCGGUGGCGAAGGCGGCCUGCUGGACUGCGACUGACGUUGAGGCCCGAAAGCGUGGGGAGCAAACAGGAUUAGAUACCCCUGUAGUC